GGGGAGCAACGGGAGGAGACGUGACAGCUUCCACCUGGGCACUGUGGCCAUCCUCACCUGCAUCCACAACCAGAUCAAAGGGAAAAUGCCUGUGAUCGCUGUAUGCUGAAAGCCUGCAUCUGCUGCUUGUGGAUACCUGAAUCAAGUAAGUGUUCUAUCAGAAUCAGAUUGAUUGUCAUCUGAGAUGUUGAUUAUUCUUACUAUUACACAUGUUAUAUCAUUGACCACAAUCUAUUUUACAAGGGAGACUCAUUCCAAGAUGACAGCAAUCACACAUUGUUAUUGAUGAUACUCCUGUCUCUUGUUCACCACAGAACGCGUACACGGCCACAGAGAUCAAUAGCACCAGUUUCUGUAUGUUGGCGCGCGAUGCCUUCGUCAUCCUGGUAGAGAAUGCCUUCAGAGUGGCCACCAUCAACACCGUGGGGGACUUUGUCCUCUUCCUGGGAAAGACUCAUGGAGGAGGGACUUCGGUUUGACCAAAACAAACCAGAAGACAGAAACCAAAAGGCAU